AAAGUGAGACGAGAGGUAAAAAUGGACAAGUGUCCGACAGUAGAAUUAGGGGUACAAGAUACCCACCUGAGAGAAAAGAAAAAUAAGAGCAUCUCAUUCUCCUCAUAAAGUUUCAAAAAGCAAGAAAGGUAUGUAUCCCCUCAAAAGAGCAAAUGUAGAAUUAGACUUCCACCAUUGUUACCACCAUCAUUACCAUACACCAUUCAUUCGCCACACAUGCACAUCUUGAUUUGGCUUAUUGAUUUGUUUCUUUGGAUCCAUGGUUUGACUAUGCAAUAAAUAUCUUGUAAGUAUGUAUACUUUAUCUCCCACCUAUGAGCUCCAGAUAUUAAAGCCUUAUUAGUGUAGGGUG
rnacentral:lncRNA from 1 species